GAUGAACGCUAGCGAUAGGCUUAACACACGCAAGUCGAGGGGCAGCACAAGGUAGCUUGCUAUCUGGGUGGCGACCGGCGCACGGGUGCGUAACGCGUAUGCAACUUGCCCUAUACAGGAGGAUAACCCGUCGAAAGACGGACUAAUACUGCGUAUGCUCACAACUUGGCAUCAAGUGGUGAGGAAAGAAAUUCGGUAUAGGAUAGGCAUGCGUCCCAUUAGCUUGUUGGUGAGGUAACGGCUCACCAAGGCAACGAUGGGUAGGGGAACUGAGAGGUUUAUCCCCCACACUGGUACUGAGACACGGACCAGACUCCUACGGGAGGCAGCAGUGAGGAAUAUUGGUCAAUGGGCGCGAGCCUGAACCAGCCAAGUCGCGUGAAGGAUGACUGUCUUAUGGAUUGUAAACUUCUUUUAGACGGGAAUAACAAGAGUCACGUGUGACUCCCUGCAUGUACCGUAUGAAUAAGCAUCGGCUAACUCCGUG
rnacentral:rRNA from 1 species